rnacentral:lncRNA from 1 species
CUCUGGGUCUCGCACGCAGCAGCUGCAGACGCUGCCCGGCGCGGUGGGGCUGUGAGCAAAACGGCCCGCCGGUGUGGUUGCCCAGACUGUGCUGGGCCCUCCUAGGUGGAUGGCCCUGCCCCAGCCUAACUUCUGUACCCCAGCAUAACCUCCAAAGUAACAGCCGUGCCCUGGGAGCCUGUUCAACACUGAACAUAUCCCACAAUAACACUGUUCCAGCGUCGCUGGUAAAAAGCAGAAAUGGCUUCGCUGGAGGCAUCGACAAAUCUAAUGCAGUAACCUCAUUUUACAGAAGAGAACUCUAAGAGGAUAACUAACUUGGCCAAGAUCACAUGAUGUUUCUGGAUGAGAUUAGCAUUCAAAUUCGUGGACUCAUUAAAGUAGAUGGCUCUCUCCAAUAUGGGUGGGCAUCAUCCAAUCUGUUGAAGGCGUGAAGAGAACAAGAGAAGGAGGAAGGAAGAAUUCACCUUUUUUCUUGCUGCCCACCUGCUUGGGCUGGGACAUUGCAUCUCACCUUCUCCAGCCUUUGGAUGAGGAUUUACACCCUGGUUCUCAGGCCUUCAGGCUCUAACUGGAGCUACACUAUCAACUUUCCUGGGCCUCCAGAUUGCAGAUGGUGGAUCACGGUACUUUUUAGCCUCCAUCAUAAUAUGAGAAAAAAGAGGCACAGUGAAGCUAAAUAUAUUGGCUAAAGAUCACAAAGCUAAUAUCGCUCUUUUCUCUGAAAUUUGCCUGGGGCCGCAGCAUAAAUCUACAGUUACAACCAUGAAGGUAGAAGUUGCUCAUUAAUUCAGAGGGCAGGAACUUGUGAACAUAACUGUUAGAAGAUUAUCAAGGUUAUCUGUGCUCAAUGUGUGCAUCUCAGAUCAGCAGCAUCAGCAUCACCUGGGAGCUUGUUAGAGCUGGAGACUCUCAGGCUCCACGGCAGACUUCCUGAAUCAGAAGCUACAAUUUAACAGGAUCCUCGGGUGAUCUGAAAAUGCAAUAAAGUUUGGGAAGCACUGCUGUUGGUCAUUAGACAAUCUAAUGAACUAAGACUUUUGCCGAGCAUCUGAGUUGAAAUUUUUCAAGAUGAAAAGUUGCUAAAGAAAGAGAAAGGGAAGCGGUUUGCUCCAGUAUUCCUCUUUCCACCUUCCCACUGACUGGGAAGCGGCGGUUAGCAGAGCCACAGUCUUGGAUUAGAGAUAAGAGGGACAUGUUGAGGAAGGUGGAGUCUCCCCCACAGCCCUGGACCAGGCUCCAGUGCCAACAAAAGCCAAGAAGAACCUCUGGAGCAAUCAGUCUUACGGAAUCCCUGUAUUCUAGGAUUUGGCAAGCUGUCCACUGAAACAUUAUUUUUCCCAGCCUUCUUUGCAGAGGUGGGGAAACUGAGGCAAAGGGUGUUUAAAUGGUCUGCCCAAAGUCACACAGCUAAGAAGCAGUGAUGGGAUAUGAAGUCAAACAGUCUUAAAAGCAAGCUAUCCUGUUGCAAAAUAGAAAUUAGUUGAUAACGUCUUCCAGGAGACCUACGGCCAUCCUACUGAUAUGAACCAGAUCAUACCUGCCCUGAUGGGAUGCCAGAGAAAGACUGCUGCAAGGUACGCGCCACUCACAGACCUCUCCAUUUAUCUCACUGAUGCAAAGGACCCUGAGGUAUAAAACAGCAUGAAGAAAAGCAUCCAACUCUUCUUCAUCUGGAUGCCUCACAGCUUCAAGAGCCUAUGUAGCAUCCACUCUUACCCUCCUAGAACCCUGAGACAUUUAUGUGAAAAAGUCUGGGAUAGCCUUCUUGAGAAUGAGAGACGACAUGAGAAGAGAGGCCCAGCCAACUUCUUGCAUCGAUUGCCAGUGAGUGAGAAUGUCUUCGACCAUAUAAUCCCAGUCAAGCCACUGGAAGAAUGCAACCACCUAGGUAACAAUAAACAAGACCAGCAGAAGAGCUGCCCAUCAAUCCCAGCCCCAACUGCUGACCCAUAGAACCAUGAGAAAAUAAAUAGAAAACUGAGACAGAAACUAUUUGCUAAAGAGCAAAAUUGACUAAGUCUUAGAAAAUAUUUGAAUAGUUAUUUGUCCAAGAAGCAAAAGAAUAAAAGUUAUACUCCCUUUUAUAGUAAUAAACCCCUACCUACCCAACUUUUCUGCAGAUAAUAAUUUAAAACUUCAGAAAAAUAGAAAAAUAUCUGAGGGCAAAUAAAAACAGGCAGAUAUUACAGAAGAGUCUAUACUUGAAGAAGGAAAUACCACGAGUUAAGUUUUAUGUUUUUCUUUUUUGUAGCUUUUAUCCUGAGAGCAGGCUAUAGCUGGUGCGACAUGGGGGGUCACUGAAACUCAGAUAGAAACCCACAGUUUUCCUGGCUUGCAGAACCAAAUGUCAGAGUUCAAGGUGGCCACAGCUUCUUGAAAAUAAGAGGGAAAUUCCAUGAAGGAGAUAAUCAGAGAGAAAGAAAGAGAGAGAAAGAGAGAGAGAGAGGGAGAAAGAGAGGACACCCAAAUGUUGCCUAGAAAUUUCUGGUUGAACCCUAUGUCUCACAUUUGUGGGACAGAGCUCAGGCCUCUCAGCUGAGGCUAAGAAAACAACUUGGAUUUGAGCUGCUGCCUACUUCAGGGCAUACAGAAUUUGCAAUUUGAAUUCAGCCAAGAUACCUGCCUGCCUAGAAAAAGCUGCACAAUAUUCUUUAGAACAGCAUAACAGAAUACAGAGUCUCUUCAAUAUAUCAUUUAUAAUAGACAGAAUACAUUCCAAAAUUGCUCAACAUUUGAAGAAAAAAAAAGACCCAUUCUGAAGAGAAAAAAGAACAAUUUGAAGAUAAUACAGGUGAUAGAAUUGGCAGACUAGAUUUUAAAGUGGUUAUUGUAGCUAUACUUAAGGACAUAAAGAAAAACAUAUUCCUAAUGAAUGAAAAGAUAAGAAAGCUCAAUAAAGAACUAAAAACUAUUUUUUUCUUAAAAGAACCAAAUAAAAAUUCUAGAAUUAAAAAUUACAGUAUCUAAAAUAAAAAAUUUACUGAUUGGCCUUAACAGUAAAAUAGAAAUAACAGAAAAGUUAGUAAGCUUUAAAAUCAUUCAAUAGAAGUUAUUCAAUGUGCAGAACAGAGAGAAGAGACAUUGAAAAACAAUGGGCAGGUCCUCUGGGAACAGUGGACAAUAUCAAUAGGUCUAAUACGUAUGUAACUGGAGUCUGAGAAGGAGAAGAGAAAAAAAUUGGUCAGAAAAAAUAUUUGAAAAAAAGUAAAAGGUGAAAAUUAUUCAAAUUUAGAGAAAGGCAUAAAGUUACAAAUUUAGGAAGGAGAGCAAUCCCCAAGCAGAAGAGGAUUAAACACACACCUACACAUGCCCACACACACACAGGAACAUCAGAGUCAAACUGCUAAAAACCAGAGAACACAAAGGAUCUUAUUGUAGACUCAUUCUACACCAAAUAAAAUACUACAUCCAGAGUUUCAUGAACUGUUUUUAUUCAGGAAAUUUUCAGUGUAGGAUAAAUUGCUGCUUUUCACUGGAGACACAAAUCCUGGGUGUGAGGAGUUCAUCCACACAGUCAGGGCCCCAGGAGGUGGGUGGUUGAGGAGGAGACUACCAGUCUUUCACUUCCAUUUCAGCUGGGGAAGAGCUUCUGGAGGAGACAGGAUGCUGUGAGCUCUCUGGAAGACAGAAAGAUUUUGACAUAAAUAACUCUAAAAUCAGGGAAAGAGAAGUGAGAUCCUCAUGGUAAUCUUGAGAAUGACCCAACCAGAGAAUCUAGUGCCUUGGAGCCAAGGGAGUUUUUGAAAUGGAAUUAGCAGAAAGAAAUCUGGGGGGAAUGGGGAAGGCCCAGAAGAUUUUGAUCCUUACAGCAUGUAUUUCCUCAUAUGCUUUCCCUCCUUUCUCCCACAAUUUAGCAUAACCCUAUUCAGGGUGGAUCACUUUGAAACAUAGGGAGGUAGAUUCUUUCCCUUCCUUUUCACCAAUAGAUCAGAGAUGUCUGGAGGUAGCUGCCUUGGGGAAUGUGUGGCCUUGUUUUGACAAAUGUGGACCUCUUAGUUCAUAGAGGAUGAUGUUAAUAAUUGAAAACAAAUAAAUAACAAAACCUCCAAAUGUAAAC